GCCUUAAACUAAUGAGUAAGGAAAAUACCGCACCGGUUGACACCGGUGUUAUGGCGUGAACCGCGUUCACGUCGGCUUCCAAUUUCUGGCGGGCUACAGGCCUCGGCCCUCUUGUAGUGACCUGCGCCUACUUUCGCGCGGGAUGCUCGAGUUGGCUGGCCU
rnacentral:snRNA from 14 species